AGAUAUCUGGGCUCAUUGCUGCAGGAGAGACUUUGUGGGUGGCUGAGCUGUUGGUCUCUUGAAGUAUGAAGCUUGAUGCUGCCUCCAUCCUUCUUCCUCGAAUCAUGCUGGCUCUCCCUCAGCAAAGUACUGCCUCUCCCUCCAGGAAGAUUGUUCCACAACCAGAGCAUGCAAGACAUGCAAGGCACUCAUGCUCUACUUACUAGCCUUCUUUUUGUGCCCAUACUGGUAUCCGAUGAGGAUGAGAAAAAGCAGGAGGAAGAAAAGCAGGAGGAAUGACACCAGGACUCCAAUCAAAAUCUUCUGAGUUGAUGGAAAAUAGGACUUCUGCAGAGAAAAUCUUUUGUGUGGACCCUAAAGAUGCCAAACACUUAGAAGCAGGAAAAAGAUGACAGAUGUGAGGGCUGUGAGCUGAGGAAGGAAUUGCACCGAGAUGAUAAAGUUUCGCCCUCAGGAAGAACUCUCUUCAGAGAUAUAUUGUUUAACAUGUCACAUGUUAUGUACAGUAACACCUAUAUAGCAAUUGAGUGUUCAAUUCACAAACCUAAAGUUUUGUAUAUGUGUUGAGAGAUAUAUCAUCUUGAAUUACUUCUUACACAAUGUAUAUCUGUAAUAUACCCACUCUGUAUCCCAGAAAAUAUUAUUCAUGCUGUAACUUUAAAAACAAGUGAAAUGUAUAAAUAAUUUUAAAAUAUAAGAAUAGUUAAUAAAAGCAUAGAGCAACACAAGAACUAGAAUAAAUAAA
rnacentral:lncRNA from 1 species